AGAGAGAGAGAGAGAGAGAGAGAGAGAGAGAGAGAGAGAGAGAGAGAGAGAGAGAGAGAGAGAGAGACCCUGGAAAAGAUAAAUCUGUAGUGUUGCCCUUAUCAAAAGUUUUGAAAAGAAAAACUAAAAUCAAUUUUGAAAAGUUCCCAAGAUGAUCUGAUACAGACCUUUGAGAGAGAGAGAGAGAGAGAGAGAGAGAGAGAGAGAGAGAGAGAGAGAGAGAGAGAGAGGACCGCUGAGAAAAGUUUGGCGGCAGUUAUAUUAAUCACGAGAGAGAGAGAGAGAGAGAGAGAGAGAGAGAGAGAGAGAGAGAGAGAGAGAUCCAAUAGAAAAC